UCAAGGGGUCUUGGGGCAUCUUAAAGACUAACACAUUUAUUAUAGAAGAACAUUUGUGGACUCAGACUUGUUAGUCUUUAAGAUGCUGCAAGACUCAG